ACACGCAGUUAGUGGCAUCGCCAAGGGAACAUUGUCCAUCAUGUCUCUUUGGGCCUCCUGAUGCUCCACUCGAUGUGAGAAUAUGAGGAUCAAUCAAGAGAAGAGACUAACCUCGAGACAGAGCACUAAAUCGAGCAGAAAACAGGAAGGCCUGUCUUGGGCCUCCAUUUGCGUAAACCUACAGACGCCAUCAACUCCUCCAACAGCCAAGGCCUUUUCUGACCACAAGGGGGCGCCCGCAUCAUGCUUUAAUAUAGUACGUGCUUGGGAUGUUGAGAGCGUGGAAGACUGCAGUCUCAAAAUACAGAUAGGGAAACUGAGGCCAGGAGAAAGCAAAGGGUUCCUAAGUCAUUCUGGACACAUGGCACAUAUGUGUGUACAUGCAUCUGGAAGCCAAGACUCAAUGGGCUCCUUCAUUGCUCUCGUCUGAGUAUUUUUAAAACAAACUCUGUCACGGAACCAGUGUAAAACUGCCUUGUCCACAAGCCCCUGGAAUCCACGCGUCUCUGCUUCCCCAGCCCUAGAAUCACAGGAGAACACCACUGCAGCCAGCUGGUUAGAGGUAUAGACUGUUGCUAUCUAGAAUCAGAAGCUGUGGCAUACUGCAACUGUUUCCAUAGUUCCUGGAGGCUACUUUGUAUCCAUCUUGUUCAUCAAACCCUCAGCUCCUGCUUCACCGUAAGGAGCAAAGGAGAGAAUGGCUGAAAUCCUUUGAACUCUUCAAGAUCCUGUUCUCAAUGUCUACAAGGGUUCUACCAAGCCCCACCUCUUAAAGCUUCCACCAGAAGCUGAAGGCCAAGCCUUUGACACAAGGGCCUUUGGAGAAUGCUUCUCUAAGCCAAAGCAGUGACUUACU
ensembl:lincRNA 4930524O08Rik RIKEN cDNA 4930524O08 gene